rnacentral:rRNA from 1 species
AACGAACGCUGGCGGCAGGCUUAACACAUGCAAGUCGAACGAACAUAGCAAUAUGUUAGUGGCAGACGGGUGAGUAACGCGUGGGAAUGUGCCCUAUGGUUUGGAAUAACUCAGGGAAACUUGAGCUAAUACCGGAUAAUCCCGAGAGGGGAAAGAUUUAUCGCCAUUGGAGCAGCCCGCGUCUGAUUAGCUAGUUGGUGAGGUAAGGGCUCACCAAGGCGACGAUCAGUAGCUGGUCUGAGAGGAUGAUCAGCCACACUGGGACUGAGACACGGCCCAGACUCCUACGGGAGGCAGCAGUGGGGAAUAUUGGACAAUGGGGGCAACCCUGAUCCAGCCAUGCCGCGUGAGUGAUGAAGGCCUUAGGGUUGUAAAACUCUUUUAUCCGGGAAGAUAAUGACUGUACCGGAAGAAUAAGCCCCGGCUAACUUCGUGCCAGCCGCCGCGGUAA